rnacentral:tRNA from 1 species
GCCUGGGUGGCGGAACUGGUAGACGCAAGGGACUUAAAAUCCCUUGAGACGUGUGCUCGUGCGGGUUCGAUUCCCGCCCCAGGCACCA